CACAAAGUUCUCGACAGGCUCUUCACCAAUGAAGUGAUGGCACUGUUAAAUAUGAAAGGGAAGGGGAAGAAAGACAAGAUGGGGAUAGAGGACACCAAUCUGUUCUCAGCAAUAAAAGCUGCUGUCAUGAAGUGGGACCAAUCCGCAACUGAAGCAGCGAUACGGGCUGCAGCAGGUGAUCAUUUAAAACAUGCCCCUGGAAGGGUGGGAGGAGGAGGGUAUAAAUAGAAAUUAUUGAAAUGUUCUGAUUGUUCUUGUUGUUCUGAUUGUUAUUGAUGUUCUGUUUAACCUCCUGAGACCAAGCAAUUUAAUUAGUCCACUCUAGAAUUCAUUCUGACUCUUAAGUCUAGUUGUUCCUGAGGGAGGGAGGGAAGGACGGACGGAAAGAAAGGAAGGAAGGAAUGAAUGAAUGAAGGGAGGGAGAGAAGGAAGAACAGGAGGAAGGAAGGAAGGAAGGAAUUGCAAUGUUUGUCUUUGUUGUUUUUUGUUUUUUUACCAUCACCUUUUUCCUCAAAAGACUUGGUUAAGUUAUAUACUUGUUCCCAAACUGCUAUUAUAUAUAUGUUAAAAACUGUUAUUAUAAUUAGAGUGGAAUGUUGUAGAAAUAAAGAGAGACUGCUUUUUCAAAUUCAGUGUUUACAUGUGGUUUUCAAUAUGUCCAAAAUGUAAUUAUCAGUGAAACUUGAUUUGUACAGAUCAUAUUGACAUUGAUCAUUGAUCAUAUUGGUAAAUAUUUAUUGGCCAUAACCGCAAUUUUAAUGUUAUCUGUAUAGGCUACAAUUUCCAUAUUAGUGGAUCCCUUGUAUGUUGUGUGUUUUCGCCUUUCACACUGUUAAACAGGGUUGCCACGUGUCUGGAAAGACCUGAAAGUGCAUGAAUUAAAAAGAUAGAAACGAAGAACUUUAAAGAUCUUGGAUUUACCAAAAGGUCCUUGAUUUUGAGCUUUGGUCUGUCAACUUUGAACAAUUCAACAAUUAUGGGGCAAGAACACUAUAUUUGUGGCGAGAAGUCAACAGUUUUGUGGCAACAAAACUGGAUAUUUUUCUACCAAGAUGUAGAUGAUUUUUGGCCACAAAAACCGAUAUUUCUAACGAGGCAUAGACAAUUUUUUGGCGACAACUGGGCAUUUUUAUUGAGACAUUAAAUUAUUUGUGGUGAC